rnacentral:lncRNA from 1 species
UUUUUCUUNUUUUUUUUUUUUCUUUUUAGGGCCUCACUUGUGGCAUAUGGAAGUUCCCAGGCUAGGGGCUAAAUCAGAGAUACAACUGCCGGCCUAUGCCACAGCCACAGCCAAAUGCAAUUCUGCCGUGUCUGUGACCUACACCACAGCUCAUGGCAACUCUGGGUCCUUAACCCACUGAGGGAGGCCAGGGGUUGAACCAGCAUCCUCACAGAUACUAGUUGGGUUCUUUACUACUGAGCCACAAUGGGAAUGCCCCAAAUUUUCCUCUUCUUAUAAGGACAUCAAUUACAUUGGAUUAAGGCCCAUUCCAAAGACAGCAUCCAAACUUGAUUAAACCUGCAAAGACCAUAUUUUCAAAUAAAGUGGCAUUCACAUGUGCUGAGGAUUAGUGGUUAAGCCAUAAAUAGAUAGAUAGUUAGAUAAUAGAUGAUAGGUAGGUAGAUAGAUAGAUAUGUAGUAAAGAAUUAAUAUUCUUAUAAACAAGCCUCAGUUUUUAUCUAUACAACAGAUAUAAUAAAACUGCCCUCAUAUGAUUGCUGUGAGGAUGAAAUAUGUGAACGAAUCUAGCAUGAGGCAGAAUUAGCUAUAUGGUUGAUGCUUGUAUUAAUAACUCAGGUAACUAUUUUCAGGUAGUAGUUACCUAACUCAGGUAACUAUUUUCAGAAGUAGUUUCAGGAAAGGAUUCUCAUUGUGUUCUAUAUAUCUAUACGAUUCUAAAUACCACAUGUCAUCAAUUUAAAACAAAUCUUUAAGUCUCAUGGAUAUGGCCAAAAGAAGUACAUGAUUCAGAAAAGGCAUUAGGUUGCACUAGAACUUUCUUUAGCCUUGGAGUAUUCUACUAGAGAACAAAUGUAUAGAAUACUCGCAAAGUUAAUGUCUGGGGAUUCUGUUUCCCCCCUCUGUAAUAGUCCUAACUGUAUUUACACUAUAAGGCAGCAUUAGAUUUUUGGCUAAUUGCUGAAUUAGAUAAAUCUGGUGGCUUACGGCUUUCUUCUAUUUUCUUCUCUCACUAUUGGAUGUUUGGCUUUUAACGUUCUGGACAAUCACCUGUACUUCCCACUUUUCUUUGCCAAUUGGCACCAGCACAUUCAAAGUUAAAUUUAAUGCAAAGACAUCAUCUGGCACAUUUCUCUAAUCUCAAAAAGGUAAAUUCCCAAACCUCAGUUGAAGUAUUUCUAUUUUAGCCUGAAUUUUCAAGAUAAUUGCCUCCUCAUGUCUCCACUUAAUUUGGCUUGUGCAGAUACAAUCACAUGAACAAAUACAUGUUAAUGGAAAGCCUUCUUAGCUGUCAGUGAGUUGGACAUCCAUUGGGGAUGGUAUAUGGGAGCUCUGGAAUUUAUAAUCCUUUCCACUCUGCCAUUAAUUAAAAGUGCCCCAGAGACAGAUUGGGAGUGACCCAGGGUGAAGGGGUUGAAGGUUAAGCCUUUUAGCUUUGAGCCUCCAGUUUGAAUCUGAUCUAAGCUGGUAAUAAAUAAGAGCUACUGCUAUUUGAUAUCAGUUUGGUGAAUCAUGUGAAAUGAAUUAGUAAUCUCAGGCUUGUUCUGGUGGACAGGUGUCCUCAUACAGUGGGAGCUGAUAGCCUUUGCAGAAGAACCCAACAACCUAAAAAAGAUGGAAAUAAAAUGGCUUCACAAAUAUUCUCUUACCUUGCUAAGAUUGCUGUUCAGUAACAUGGAAAAGUAAGAAACCUUAGGAUUCCAUAUGCCCAGCUUGUAAAUGGCUAUGGGAAUAAAAGGGAUCAGGAUGGGCUUAAUAAGACCCAGAGAGUGGGUCAAAUGGGAAUCAGGUGGUGGGUCUAAGAGAAAUUUAAUAUCCUUGGCUUCUCAUUUUUUCCCCCUUUCUGUUUGGUUGUCAUGGGAAUCUGUAUUUGUGGAAGAAAUACUGACUGCAUUUGCCCAGGGCAGAUGUAUGUACCCUCUAGCCUUCAAAUUUAGCAUUACUAGGACAGAAGGAUUUGUGGCUGGAUAGAAUGAAGGCGAGUCAUACCGGUAAUUCUGGCAGGCAAAAUAAAACAUUGCAAGCAUUAAAAAAAUUUUUUUUUUCCAAAAGAUAUCAUGUACUGAAUUGAAAUAAGAUCAAAACUUGUUUUACUAAACUGAGGAAGGCUAUUUAGAGCUUAGUUUAACUCAAAUUUUGUUAUUAGGAUUAAUCCAGUAGUACUUUCACCCAUCUUUUAAAUGUAUAUUGAGGAAGAACUGCAUUUUUUUUUUUUAAUAAUAGAAAAAAAAAUGGGGCAGCCCUGAGGAAUUAAGUGGAGGAAAAAGACAUCCAACCUUCAAUGUACUUAACUUUAUUUUUCUUUUUGUGAAAGAAAAUAUGAAUCAUUAAUAUCAACUACAUCUUGCUGGUUUUAGUAAGCUUCAACAGGCAAAAUGUACUAGUUCUUUCUGAAUCAGGUUUGUGAAGUUAUUUGUGCAUGUGUGUAUGUGGGUAUGUGAAGUACCAGCUUUGUGCAUAUACAAUAGUGCUAAAGAAAUCAUAAUGUUUUCCUUAGCACUUUUUAUCUGACAGAGUCUUUGAAAAUAAAUUCAUCAGAUUGUGGUGAGUAAUAUCUUUGGCUAAGAUCUAAACACUACAAACAUGAUGAACCUAUGAAUAUGUUUUCUUGAUUUUCUUCUUUAAAAUGUCUUAACUUGCUAUUGUUCCUCUUUGUAACUCAUCCCAAACCAAGUAAUUCCAUUUUGUUUCUGUUUGUUUAGUGAUUACAUCAUGUUGCCAUUAUAAAAGAGUCCCAUUACCUGAGUCUGGAACUUUUAAAAACUCCUUUUUCCGUCUCUUCAUCCCCCCAUCCUGGCAAACUGCUCUUUCAUUUCCUGCCAGGUAGAUAAUCUAAUAAAUGCUUUCACAUCAAAGGUUAAUACCUGAUUAUGGAUUAAAUAUGAAAGCUGAGCCACAUUGAAUAGUCUGUAUUUGUUUCUGACAUAGAAUAGUAGUUUCUUCAUAUGGUUCCGCCUAUGACUCCUUAAUUUGCAUUUAAGAACAAAACUGCAUUGGUUUCUCAUGGUAAAAUUAGGGGAUUAGAGUCAUGGCAGUCAGUGACAAUAGUUUGGGGAAUAGAAAUCCUUUACUGAGAGUUCCCAUCAUGGCUCAGUGGAAGGGAACCCAACUAGUAUCCUUGAGGACCCAGGUUCGAUCCACGGCCUUGCUCAGUGGGUUAAGGAUCCGGCCUUGGUUGCCAUGAGCUGUGGUGUGAGUCACAGACGUGGCUGUGGCAUAAGCCAGGAGCUACAGCACCGAUUCAACCCCUAUCCUGGGAACUUCCAUAGACUGAGAGUUCAGCCCUAAAAAGACACACACACACACAC